rnacentral:ncRNA from 23 species
UAUCUUGCAGACGGGUGUUCAUUUCUCGAGAUCUGUUCGUCGCUUUCAUGCAAUGUCAGGCCUCGAGAUUGAUCUGAGAAAUACCGUAAUGCCGGUGGAAGCAAAGUCGCGUUUCUCUACUGCGGAGUGCCUCUGCUUUCACCGACAUAGAACUUGAUCUGGGUAAUUCCAGCGAAAGGACUGCUUCUGUUUAUCCC